rnacentral:rRNA from 1 species
GAUGAACGCUAGCUACAGGCUUAACACAUGCAAGUCGAGGGACCGGCGCACGGGUGAGUAACACGUAUCCAACCUGCCCUUUCCUCGGGGAUAGCCUUUCGAAAGAAAGAUUAAUACCCGAUAUAAAGGGUGGGGAUGCGUUCCAUUAGGUUGUUGGUGAGGUAACGGCUCACCAAGCCUUCGAUGGAUAGGGGUUCUGGGAGGAAGGUCCCCUAGAUUGGAGAUGCGACCCGGACCAAACGCCUACGGGAGGGAGGAGUAAGGAAUAUAAGUCAAGAAGCGCUAGCCUGAACCAGCCACGUAGCUUGAAGAAUGAAGGCUUAGUAGUCGUAAAUUUUUUGUAUAUAAGAAGAGGUAUUAUAUGAAUAAGGAUCGGCUAACUCCGUGCCAGCAGCCGCGGUAAUAC